GGAGAUGUCGCCUAGUUUGGUCGAGGGCGCACGAUUGGAAAUCGUGUAGACCGCAAAACGGUCUCGAGAGUUCGAAUCUCUCCAUCUCCGCCA
rnacentral:tRNA from 1 species